rnacentral:rRNA from 1 species
UUUAUGGAGAGUUUGAUCCUGGCUCAGGAUGAACGCUGGCGGCGUGCCUAAUACAUGCAAGUCGAGCGAACGGACGAGAAGCUUGCUUCUCUGAUGUUAGCGGCGGACGGGUGAGUAACACGUGGAUAACCUACCUAUAAGACUGGGAUAACUUCGGGAAACCGGAGCUAAUACCGGAUAAUAUUUUGAACCGCAUGGUUCAAAAGUGAAAGACGGUCUUGCUGUCACUUAUAGAUGGAUCCGCGCUGCAUUAGCUAGUUGGUAAGGUAACGGCUUACCAAGGCAACGAUGCAUAGCCGACCUGAGAGGGUGAUCGGCCACACUGGAACUGAGACACGGUCCAGACUCCUACGGGAGGCAGCAGUAGGGAAUCUUCCGCAAUGGGCGAAAGCCUGACGGAGCAACGCCGCGUGAGUGAUGAAGGUCUUCGGAUCGUAAAACUCUGUUAUUAGGGAAGAACAUAUGUGUAAGUAACUGUGCACAUCUUGACGGUACCUAAUCAGAAAGCCAUGGCUAACUACGUGCCAGCAGCCGCGGUAAUACGUAGGUGGCAAGCGUUAUCCGGAAUUAUUGGGCGUAAAGCGCGCGUAGGCGGUUUUUUAAGUCUGAUGUGAAAGCCCACGGCUCAACCGUGGAGGGUCAUUGGAAACUGGAAAACUUGAGUGCAGAAGAGGAAAGUGGAAUUCCAUGUGUAGCGGUGAAAUGCGCAGAGAUAUGGAGGAACACCAGUGGCGAAGGCGACUUUCUGGUCUGUAACUGACGCUGAUGUGCGAAAGCGUGGGGAUCAAACAGGAUUAGAUACCCUGGUAGUCCACGCCGUAAACGAUGAGUGCUAAGUGUUAGGGGGUUUCCGCCCCUUAGUGCUGCAGCUAACGCAUUAAGCACUCCGCCUGGGGAGUACGACCGCAAGGUUGAAACUCAAAGGAAUUGACGGGGACCCGCACAAGCGGUGGAGCAUGUGGUUUAAUUCGAAGCAACGCGAAGAACCUUACCAAAUCUUGACAUCCUUUGACAACUCUAGAGAUAGAGCCUUCCCCUUCGGGGGACAAAGUGACAGGUGGUGCAUGGUUGUCGUCAGCUCGUGUCGUGAGAUGUUGGGUUAAGUCCCGCAACGAGCGCAACCCUUAAGCUUAGUUGCCAUCAUUAAGUUGGGCACUCUAAGUUGACUGCCGGUGACAAACCGGAGGAAGGUGGGGAUGACGUCAAAUCAUCAUGCCCCUUAUGAUUUGGGCUACACACGUGCUACAAUGGACAAUACAAAGGGCAGCGAAACCGCGAGGUCAAGCAAAUCCCAUAAAGUUGUUCUCAGUUCGGAUUGUAGUCUGCAACUCGACUACAUGAAGCUGGAAUCGCUAGUAAUCGUAGAUCAGCAUGCUACGGUGAAUACGUUCCCGGGUCUUGUACACACCGCCCGUCACACCACGAGAGUUUGUAACACCCGAAGCCGGUGGAGUAACCUUUUAGGAGCUAGCCGUCGAAGGUGGGACAAAUGAUUGGGGUGAAGUCGUAACAAGGUAGCCGUAUCGGAAGGUGCGGCUGGAUCACCUCCUUUCU